UUAGCUGCAAGGAAGCAAAAAGCAGAUUUCCUGAAGGGCAAGGCAAGUGCGCUGUGCCGGAAAUGAACCCCGGGGCUUGGAGUUCAAGGACAGGGAUUUUAAUCCCCAACAAGAGUCAAGUGCUCAUUAGAUGGGAGGCCUUGGUCAGGUUGUCUGACUUUCCUAAAGUGUGAAACGUAGAGGAUCCCUAAGGAAUCGGGCCCCUGUGACUGCAUAUUGGUCCCUUCUGCCCUAAGGCUGGAAGGCAGCUCGCACUUAGACUCAGCUCUGUUACCUGCACCUUUAUGAAGGUUAAAUGAGUUAAGGUUUACAGCGUGCUUAGAAUGGUGUUUGGUUUAUUGUAGCCUCUGUGUAAAUGUUUAUUGAACGUUGAGUGGUGGCGAGGGAAACUGAGAGUUGGUUCCUUCUCUGGGAAAGCCUUGACUCUGUCCCUUCCAGACUCUUAGAUAAAUGACAGUCUGUGACCCCUUUCCAUUUCUCCUACUCUUUCAGUCAAGAUCCGUGAAUGUUAUUAUCCAGCACCGCAGGAGAGACUAAUGCACGUAAAUACAUGUACAUUGUGGAGAAGAGCGUCUCUAAGGGAACCUGAAUAAUUGUGCAUCAUACCAUUUAGCUGCUCAGAGCUGUUGAAAGAAAAGCUCCUCACACACAGACUCAAUGAGCGUUAGCUUUCUUCUUCCCUUCCUGCGUCCAGCUGGUGUAUUAUUUAAGCUGCAGUGAUAAUAAUUUCAUGCUAUUCCACCAAAUCUCAGGAAAGACCCUUCUUUUGCAGGUGAGGACUAUUUGUGACCUUAGCUUAGGACUCAGUGAUCUGCUCCAAGGUGGGGCUCAGUCAGAGUAGGGAUAGCCUCGUCCAGCUUCCCCCACAAGAAAUGCACAAUGAGCUUUACUUUUCAACCGACUCUGCUUUCCUCUUAGGAAUUGCUAUGGUUUCAACAAGUUCCCCAAAGCCCUGCUGUCCUACUUGGCCAAAUGCCAAAGCGGAUAUAACCAGGUACAACGUGAUGUCUGAAGUUAUCUCGUUUAUGCUGUUGCAAACAUGUUCAUAAAUGUAUCAUCUUACUAGACGGAGAGCUGGGGGUAUCUUCUCAUUUUAUACAUAAGUAACUGAAGUUCAUGGCGGUUAAGUGACUUGCCUGAGGUCACAUAGUUGGCUGGUCCGAAAGCAAGGACAUGUCUCUGCAUGCUAUUUCGUUUCAAUUUAAAAGGCUUAUAAGUCCUCAAUCCAUUGCUUUUUUUUUUUUUUUUUUGUGCCCAGUUACUAGCAAUACCCAUCAUUAUCAGCCCCACUCAUGCCCAACUGUUGAGUGAACCUGCCCUGCCCAAAUCCCUUGUUUAAGAGCUUGCAUGUAAUUUGAAAACAUUUGAUCCUGCCCUCGUUCUCUUCGAUUGGACCAAGAACAAACAGCCAAGCCAUAGGCUUGAGUUGUAGGAGAGAGAGAGAGAUAGAGAUGACCCAAUUAGGCUCUUUUUUUUUUUUUUUCGAGGAAUUUGAUGAACCACAGUAGGAAACCAUCAGCUGAGGAAGCUGAGACGAAAAGCCAUCUGUAGAAAGGACUUUGAGUGGCCAUUUAUGGGUUCUGUAAAGUUAGAGGGGCGACAAAUGAAUAGAUAAGCAAAGGAAACUGCUAGAAAAUAGAGAAGGGAGCAGAUUUAGAGAAAAGCAAAGGAAGUACAGAAGGAGAGAGAAUUUAUAGUCCUAGCUCUCAUCAGACCUGGCUAUAUCUGCAUUUUCUGUUCUUGCAUUCCCCUACUAUAAAACCUGUUUGCUUGGGCUAGCUUGAGUGGGUCCUGCUCCUUGAGACCAACAGCUUUAACCCAAAGAGUCCUAAUACGUUAGAUAUAAAGAAUUAGCCCGGAAAAAAAUGGCUGUUGGGACAUAAUCCAGGAACACCAGCUGGAUUACCAAUGCUAUAAACUUUCUCUUUGUUCUUAUACCCUAUUCGAUGCCUUAGAGCCUAUUUAUGCCAAAGUAUGCUGGAAGGAUCAAAACCAUAAUCUUUUGAAGUAACACCUUCCUUAUUAAGUGGGAAAUCUUUUCAAUACCCAGUAGGUUUUGUUCUGAGUCAACUUACCUGAUGAUGUUCCAGCUGCAUCUUGCUCUGUUUGAUGAUAUUUUCCUUUUCCAGCAGCUCCUUCUGUUGCCUCUCAAACUCCUCCUUGCCCUAUUAUUUUUCAACACAAAGAAAACAUUACAUCACCCCUGUGAUUCACUUACGCUAACAAUUUCAUUGACAAACGUGUAAAUACCCUUUCAUUUUCCAAUGCCUUGGCGAUUUCCCACAGGCCCGCUUAGGCCCUGUGAACCCCAGGCCCUGGUGUGCUUCUUUGCCAGACUUCCAGAGUCACCACGGAGGUCAAGGCUGAAAAGUAAAGUCCGUGUCCAUGUGAGAGGCCACCAUCUCUGCUCCACUUCACCAUUCUUGGAGAUCCACAAUCCCCUUCAAACCUCCUUAAGCAACACUGUUUCUCAGCGUCCUAAUGGGAUCCACGCUGCACUCCUGGUUUCGUUGAAUCACCUAUGACUCUACACCAAGUCGGUAUUUCCAACAGACAGAGCUGGACAACCCGCCAUAUGAAUGAACUAUAUGACAGAAUGCCAACAGAAGUGGAGAGGAUAUGAUUAUCUGGGGGCCCACUCUCCUACUUGGGGAGUCUCUUUCUGCUUGCCUGAGGCAUAUCAAUGGAUCACUCCAACUCUGUGCUUCACUCAUGUUGCAAAUGAAGAAAUUACAACCCUGGCAGGUUUGAGAAGUCAAUCACACUUAGUUAGUGUCGGGGAAAGGUCUAGAGCCGGGGACUCAGGACUCUCCGGCCAGUGUUCUCCCAACAGUACGAUAUCGCCUCCAUCUGUGAACUACUAAUUUUGUUUG